UAGAUAUUAUUUAAAAAUUGACAAAUAUGACAAAUAUACGAUUAAUAUCUGUGAUAUUUAUGGUGCUCGUCAUCGGAGAAAUAUUUUUAAUCAACGGUGUUGAAGCCCUCCCAAGAUGUGGACAGAGAUUCUGUGGUUAUUGUGCAAGAAGAUUUACAAGAGAUGUACAUCACCGGUUCAUCGCUCAUCAUUGCAACAGAUGCGUCAACCGAUGCCAGAUUUGGUCGUUCUUUCUUUCCUAACCAAGAUCUCGAACCUUCGUUAAUAAAUUUCUGUAAAGAAGAAAAGCGCCGAGGAGGCCAAGUACCGGUCAAGUCAUUGACAUGGAAAAUACUGAAUUUAGACGAGAUUUCUCGCAAAUACUUUUAUCAAUGUUUAAAAGGUCAAAUGCUAUUGUACAGACUGUUGUAAUCUUCGGCUUAUACUGAUUGUUUUUGAUAAAAUUAAUCAAUCAUUUGUCGAACCACGGCAUCUUGUCUGGUUACCGGUCCCGGGCGAGGUAUGAAAAUAUUUAACCAACAAAUCGCUCCUGGUGCAUGGACUUGUAUAAUGGACGACAAAUAUUUGCUAAUUUAUGUCCUGUCAUGUGUGUUCAAAAUAUAUACUGGUCACUGACUCCGGGCAUCGGUGUGUGCUAUAAUAGCAGUGCCUUCCAUCGCUAAUAUGAUAUUAUUAUGACUAGCCACGCUUUAUUCACUCCUACUGCUGUAGAAAUCAAUCACGCGUAAACAAGCAGCAAUUACGUCAACAUUGAUAUGAUUAUCUGACCAGUCACGCUUCAUUGACUCCCGAUUCGAAGAAAAAAUCAGUGAUGCGUUAUAAGGCAGAAUCUACAUCACCAUUGAGGUGAUUAUUCCGACCGGCCACGCUUCAUUGACUUACUAUUUUGGGUAAAUCAGUAUUGCGUAAAAUUGCAGAAUCCUACAUAACCACGGAUAUGUUUUUCCGACCGGACACGCUCCAUUGACUCCGGGUGGUCGAGAGUACGAAUGAAACAAAUUUAAACCACACCCAUGCCACGCCCUUAAUUAAACAAGCUUUGGAAACCCGCAUUGAGAUAAUCAAGCUCUUCUUUUUCAAGGGUCGGACUCAACUAUGUUUUACUGAAUUUAUUAUUAGUAUAUUUCUAUAUUGUGCCUAUUAUAAAUGAAAUACGUGAAAAAUACUUUAAAAAUGCGAAUAUACGUCGUUUUCAUCUGUUCAAUUUUGUUUUGUUUUGCUGUAAACAUUGUUUAAUCAAUUUUUAAAAUGAUCAGUAAAUCCAA